UGGGGAAUAUUGCACAAUGGGCGCAAGCCUGAUGCAGCCAUGCCGCGUGUAUGAAGAAGGCCUUCGGGUUGUAAAGUACUUUCAGCGAGGAGGAAGGCGGUAGGUUAAUAACCUUAUCGAUUGACGUUACUCGCAGAAGAAGCACCGGCUAACUCCGUGCCAGCAGCCGCGGUAAUACGGAGGGUGCAAGCGUUAAUCGGAAUUACUGGGCGUAAAGCGCACGCAGGCGGUCUGUCAAGUCGGAUGUGAAAUCCCCGGGCUCAACCUGGGAACUGCAUUCGAAACUGGCAGGCUAGAGUCUUGUAGAGGGGGGUAGAAUUCCAGGUGUAGCGGUGAAAUGCGUAGAGAUCUGGAGGAAUACCGGUGGCGAAGGCGGCCCCCUGGACAAAGACUGACGCUCAGGUGCGAAAGCGUGGGGAGCAAACA
rnacentral:rRNA from 1 species